UACGGAGGGUGCAAGCGUUAAUCGGAAUUACUGGGCGUAAAGCGUGCGCAGGCGGUUUGUUAAGUCUGUUGUGAAAUCCCCGAGCUCAACUUGGGAAUUGCAAUGGAUACUGGCAGGCUGGAGUAUGGUAGAGGAAGGUGGAAUUCCCGGUGUAGCAGUGAAAUGCGUAGAGAUCGGGAGGAACACCAGUGGCGAAGGCGGCCUUCUGGACCAAUACUGACGCUGAGGAGCGAAAGCGUGGGGAGCGAACAGG
rnacentral:rRNA from 1 species